rnacentral:rRNA from 1 species
UAACCAGACUCCUACGGGAGGCAGCAGUGAGGAAUAUUGGUCAAUGGCCGGAAGGCUGAACCAGCCAAGCCGCGUGAGGGAGGAAGGCGCAGAGCGUCGCAGACCUCUUUUGCCGGGGGACAAAAGGCCGGACGGGUCCGGUUCUGAGGGUACCCGGAGAAAAAGCAUCGGCUAACUCCGUGCCAGCAGCCGCGGUAAUACGGAGGAUGCGAGCGUUAUCCGGAUUUAUUGGGUUUAAAGGGUGCGCAGGCGGCGUGUCAAGUCAGCGGUAAAAUGUCGGGGCUCAACCCCAUCCAGCCGUUGAAACUGGGGAUCUAGAGUGUGCGAGAGGUAUGCGGAAUGCGUGGUGUAGUGGUGAAAUGCAUAGAUAUCACGCAGAACCCCGAUUGCGAAGGCAGCAUACCGGUGCACAGCUGACGCUCAGGCACGAAAGCGUGGGUAUCGAACAGGAUUAGAUACCCCCGUACA